GAUCUGGUAGGCUUAUAGUUGUGGAUAAAAUGCAUAUUGCACAGUCUGUUGCUCUACAUAAUUCACUUUCUGCACUUUCAGAGUCUAAUGGUGUUGUGGAGAGAGGCACUGAGGCUAGUGGUGUUGUGGAGACAGGCUUGGAGACUAUGGUGAGGCCUAAUAGAAAGCAGUUGUUGUUGGGGAAUUCCAUCAUAAGAGGUGUGGAGAUGGACAAUGGUGGUCUUGUGAGGUGUCUUCCCG